CAAGGUUCUCAGAGUUGUCGAAAGCUUGAUCCUCGUAAGCGUACUCAACAGGUUCCUCGUUCACGAACUCGUCUCCCGGCUCUACCCAAGACAAGAACACAAACAAACGGAACCACAAUCAACAACGAGAAAUGCACAAGCAACAUGAUGCAAAACAUGUAUGAUAUGCAAGAUAUGAUAUGCGAUGCAUAUGCGUGCUCCGGAAGGAAAAUGAUGAACAUGGCAGUAACUUGGCAAACCAAGCAUUCCACUGGAAAGAUGAGAUGAUUUCGGUCGAAAUCGAUAUAAAUAUCACCGGAAUCGGAUGCACGGUUUGCAAAUGGCAAGCAAAACAAGAAUGACACGAAUCUGCGAUAAACAGCAUGAUAGCACUUAAAAUGCAACAAGUAACAAUGCUACAGCACCCCAACAUAGCAACAAAGCAUAUGCCAGUAAUCUACAAGAGAUGCUUGACAAAAGAUGAACACUGAGCUACGGCUAGUUCACAACAUAUCAAGCUCAAACAAGCAUGGCAAAAGUUCAAAAGAUAACAGGUUCACAGACUCUGUGAAAAACUGGACAUGGCAGAAAACAGCAUUAGAUUGCAAUGUUCAGAGCACGAAAUCAACAUGCUACAGGAACUUAACAUAGCAAAAAAAGGCAUGACAGUGUUCUACUAAAUGCAAAUGACAAAAGUCCCUUACUGACCAUAAGCCAAAAAGUGCCAGAGGAUAUGAUGGCAAGCAUGUAAAGAUAGCACGUUUCGUUAUCAGGUUUCAGACUUAGCAGAAAACAGAGCAUGGCAGAAAUAAUAAUAUGUAGGCAUCUUUGUGAGCUUGAUGCACUCACUACAGAGCAAUGCAUGACAAACCAAGCAUACCUACAGCAAGAAGGCAUGUUUAUGAAGCUAUCCAUGGCAAGAACAAAAGCAUAGGAUAUAUGGAUCAACUACAAUAAGCUUGGAAAAAUUGCAUAUCAUGUUAAGAAUCUGCCAGAAAUAUUUUAUAGCAAACGUAGAGCAAGAUUGAGUCAUGCUAUGGCACUCCAUAAUUACAAACAAUUGCAGGAAUGGAUCAAUUACAACUAUAGCUACAAAACAUCUUUACUUAACAUCCCCAAAAUAUGCAUGGAUCUCUCUGUAGCAUCAAGUUUACAUGGCAACAAAAUAACAGUAGACAAAGACAGAGAAAUCACUAAGUCCCUGAAAUCAGAAACAUUACGGAGUCUACUUUGCAUGCUUGUGCUAGUUACCACAGAGAUCACAAAAAUACAUGGACUACACCACUGGAAAUAUGGCAUGGCAUACUUCAAAACAUAUGUAGAGCUCAUGCCCAUAAGAUGCACACGAGUCCACAUAUUCACCAUAUCAAUACACCACUAUUGAUCCGCUCCCGUCUCCCUACGAGAAGGCCAUCCAUAGCACUCACGCUUAUAUUGCGCAUUUAGAGUAUCCACUUUCACUUGUCUAUGAACUGUACAGGUAACCCAGAAGUCCUUUUCCACGGACAUGGCUAUUCGAAUAGACGAUGUUAACCCUGCAGGGGUGUACUUCUUCACACACGCUCUCGCCACUUACCACCAUGUACACGUCGUGUAUCUCGGCAACCUUCAAGCGGAAGCCUGGCGAGGGAGUCGGCCACGACCUGACUAACCACACAAGCCUCUAGUCCAGGUUUAUCGCCUAUUCGAGUUCCAUCCGCAAGGAGAUCCGGCCGGGGUGUCGCUCACGGCCCCAAACGAUGUGAGCAGGGUUCCCAAGCCCACCAUCCGGGUGCUACUUGGUACACCGUGCCACUGUGCCUAGUCUGUCCCAAGCCCACCUGUACCGGGUGCCACUUGGUAGACUACUAACACUACCUACAAACACCAUAAACUAGUUGCAACUCCUGGACAGAGAUCAAGUUGAUUAAUAAGUCGAGAGGGGCACUUAAGCAUUCCAAUGCGUGGUAGUAAUUGUUCAUGGAUCACAAACACAUAACUCAGUUCCUGAGGACGGCUGCAAUGAGACAACCCACCAUGUACUCCUACAUGGCCUCUCACCGCUACCCUUACCAAAUCGUGUUCACACACUUAGCUCUCAACAGUAGGACAUGUUCACAACUUUCCAAUUCAUCCUCGAUGAACCAGACCUGACUCAACUCUAAGAAGUAGCAGGCAUGACAACAAGCAUGAAUGAGUAGGCACAUCAGGGCUCAAACAACUCCUACUCAUGCUAGUGGGUUUCAUCUAUUUACUGUGGCAAUGACAGGUCAUGCAGAGAAAAGGGGUUCAGCUACCGCAGCAUUUAACAGUUGAAUCGUUGUUGUCCUAAUGCAGUAAAAGAGAGCAGGAGCGAGAGAGUGGGAUUGUAUCGGAAUGAACAAGGGGGUUUUGCUUGCCUGGCACUUCUGAAGAUAGCAUUGGGUCUUCAUCAGUGUCAACGAUCACAACAUCGGAACAGCGUCUACCGAGGGGGAACAACACCGGCAAACAGAGAAUAAACAAAUCAAUGCAAUGCACAAUAUGAUGCAUGAACAUGGCAUGUCAACAUGUUGUGAUUUGAGCUAAUGCAACUAGAACAGAAGGGUUUGAGCUUAUUUGAACCAAGGGUUCAAAUUCAAACUCAAGUUAUGAGCUCAUAUAAUGCAUUAUCAUGUUUUGAUCUAAGCAGCAAGGUUAAGUUGCUUUGUCAUGCAUGAAACUAGUAGCAAUGGAAAGAUUGGAUUUUUCUGAUCAUUUCUCAUAUAUAACUUAUUUCAUUUGGAGUUAAGGUUGAUUUUCUAUGAUUUUUAGAAGUUUUGGCUAUUUUCUGAAAUUAAUAAAUCAUUUCUGAUUUAUUUAAAAACCAGAAAACAGAUUACUGCGUCAGCUCUGGGUCACUGUGACGUCAGCAGGUCAAGGUCCCGGUCAAACCUGACUUGCAGGUCCCGCCUGUCAUGGACACAAGGGCUAACCCGUGGUUAGUUAGUGUUGCGGGGUCCACUGUCAUUGACUACGGUUAAACUAACUGAAUAAUUAGGCUAAAAUAAACCGCCCACGUCAUCGGGUUAACUCCGGCGAUGACCGGAGCACUGAGGUGCUGGCCGUCCGGCCGUUUCCCGCGACGGGGGCAAGCGUGCUUGGGGUCUUCAGGUCCAGCGCGACUCCGCGCGUCAGAGGGUGGCAGCGGCACGAGCUGUGGUGGCCGGAAACAUCGCCGGCGACGAGUUCAAGCCGCGGCGGCGGUCGGGCUAGCAUGGACACGCGGUUGCAGCUUGCAACUGAGCGAACGGAGUGGGGCAGGAGCAUCUACAGAGCAGCAGAAGCACAUUGGUGCCACAGGAGAGAGCUGAGGGGCUCGGGAGGACGGGAUCCAUCAGCCAUGGCAGCGGGGAGCUUCGGCGUCCGUGCAACUACGGCCUAGAGGACGCGGGUGAGCAUGGGAGAUGGGGGAAAAGGUGCGGGAUCUCACAGCGAACUCGUAGAGAUGCUCAGACUGCUCGGGGACGUCCUGGGUAUGGCGAAUCGACGACAGCCGUGGUCGGAUGUAGAGGACGAGGACGACGGCAUAGUUGGUGUUGCGGCGCGUCUCGUGAAGCGUCGCUUGGCGGAGACGACGAGCAGGUCAUGGAGGAGCUUCCAGAGAGGGAGAAGGGGCGCGGGGACAGCGGUGGCUACGGAAACGGCGGCGGUGCGCUCAUGGCCGGGUCGGCCAUGGGGAGGAACGACAGGGAGGCGAGGG
rnacentral:lncRNA from 1 species